GUUUACGCGGCGUUAAGACUUCGCAGUGUUAGCAGAGCUGUGAUUUUCUGGCAUUUCGCGUUUCUCUUCCCGGAGCUCCUGCCUGCCAUGGACUCGUCGCUUCUUCAGGCUCGCCUGAUUCCCGGUCUCGCCAUCAAGAUCCAACGCAGUAACGGCUUAAUUCACAGUGCCAAUGUAAGGACUGUGAACUUGGAAAGAUCCUGCGUUUCGGUGGAAUGGACAGAAGGAGGAGCCACAAAGGGCAAAGAGAUUGAUUUUGAUGAUGUGGCUGCAAUAAACCCAGAACUCUUACAGCUUCUUCCCUUACACCCGAAGGACAAUCUGCCCCUGCAGGAGAAUGUAACAGUUCAGAAACAAAAGCGCAGAUCAGUCAGCUCCAAAAUUCCUGCUCCAAAGGAAGGUCUCCGAGGCCGCUCCACGCGCAUGUCCACCGUCCCAGAGGUUCGCAUCACCACUCAGGAGAAUGAUAUGGAGGUGGAGCUGCCUGCAUCUGUACAUUCCCGCCAACAGUUUUCAGUUCCCACCGGCCCCCCUCGGCCCUCCUGCCCUGCAGUGGCUGAAAUACCAUUGACGAUGGUCAGCGAGGAGAUGGAAGAGCAAGUCCAUUCCGUCCGAGGCAGCUCUUCUGCAAACCCUGUGAACUCAGUUCGGAGGAAAUCAUGUAUUGUGAAGGAAAUGGAAAAAAUGAAGAACAAGCGAGAAGAGAAGAGAGCCCAGAACUCUGAAAUGAGAAUAAAGCGUGCUCAGGAGUAUGACAACAGCUUUCCAAACUGGGAAUUCGCCCGGAUGAUUAAAGAAUUUCGGGCUACUUUGGAAUGUCAUCCACUUACUGUGACUGAUCCUAUCGAAGAGCACAGGAUAUGUGUCUGUGUUAGGAAACGCCCACUGAAUAAACAAGAAUCGGCCAAGAAAGAAAUUGAUGUGAUUUCCAUUCCUAGCAAGUGUGUCCUCUUGGUACAUGAGCCCAAGUUAAAAGUGGACUUAACAAAAUAUCUGGAGAACCAAGCAUUCUGCUUUGACUUCGCAUUUGACGAAACGGCUUCAAAUGAAGUCGUCUACAGGUUCACUGCAAGGCCACUCGUGCAGACAAUCUUUGAAGGGGGAAAAGCAACCUGUUUUGCAUACGGCCAGACGGGAAGUGGCAAGACUCAUACAAUGGGUGGAGACCUCUAUGGGAAAGCCCAGAACGCAUCCAAAGGGAUCUAUGCAAUGGCCUCCCGGGACGUCUUCCUCCUGAAGAAUCAGCCCCGAUACCGGAACCUAGGCCUGGAAGUCUAUGUGACAUUCUUCGAGAUCUAUAAUGGGAAGCUGUUCGACCUGCUCAACAAGAAGGCCAAGCUGCGAGUGCUGGAGGAUGGCAAGCAGCAGGUGCAGGUGGUGGGGCUGCAGGAGCACCUGGUGAGCUGUGCUGAUGAUGUCAUCAAGAUGAUCGACAUGGGCAGUGCCUGCAGGACCUCUGGGCAGACAUUUGCCAAUUCCAACUCUUCCCGCUCCCACGCCUGCUUCCAAAUUCUUCUUCGAGCCAAAGGGAGAAUGCAUGGCAAGUUCUCUUUGGUGGAUCUGGCAGGGAACGAGCGAGGUGCAGACACUUCCAGUGCUGACCGGCAGACCCGCAUGGAGGGUGCAGAAAUCAACAAGAGUCUCCUGGCUCUGAAGGAGUGCAUCAGGGCCCUGGGACAGAACAAGGCUCACACCCCAUUCCGCGAGAGCAAGCUGACACAGGUGCUAAGGGAUUCCUUUAUCGGGGAGAACUCAAGGACCUGCAUGAUCGCCAUGAUCUCACCAGGCAUAAGCUCCUGUGAAUAUACUUUAAAUACUCUAAGAUAUGCAGACAGGGUCAAGGAGCUGAGCCCCCACAGUGGGCCCAGUGGGGAGCAGCCAACUCAGAUGGAAACAGAAGAGAUGGAAGCCAGCUCUAACAGGGCCCUGAGCGCAGGCAAUGAAGAGGAGGAUCUGUCUUCCCAGAUGUCCAGCUUCAAUGAAGCCAUGACUCAGAUCAGGGAGCUGGAGGAGAGGGCCAUGGAAGAGCUCAAGGAGAUUAUACAGCUGCUCCUCUUGCAGCUAAUUACCACACCUUCUCCAGCCUGGCACACAUAGGCUUUCCUCCAGCCUUCUGGCUGGAGCUAGUCUCCCCGCCAAGCUCCUGACUGAGGGUUUGGAGGGUAACCUUGUCUUGUUUGUUCAGUGAAUGUUUGGUGAGUACUUUCUAUAUUCCAGCUCCUGUGCUGAGACCAAGGGCCAAAAACAUGAAGUAGGGAUAAUAGGCCCUAAAGUAAGACUUGAUAAAUCCUGACUCUUCUAUUUAUAAGCUGAUUGCCUUGUGAAAGUCAUUGAGCCUUACUGGGCCCCCAGAUUCUUCAUCUCCAAAAUGGGCAAGACAAGAUGGUUACAUCUAAGGAUUAAAUGAUAGGUUUUUAAAGCACUCAGCUGUCCUCAGCAUGUGGUCAGUGUUUAGUAAUAAGAGGUAGAUGCUACCACUGCUGUGAUCCCUGCUGUGGAAGAGCAAGUGGGGGAGAGUCCCUAACAAUGGGGCUCUCAGAGCACAGAGCAGAGGGGAGAGCUCCGGGCACUUAGAACUGAGGAGGGAACAUACAGGAUAAGUGCCUACACAUGUCCUCCCCGCCUGGAGUGCUCCAGGUACAAACGUUGGAAAGGACCUGAUACUUUCAGGAAGAGUGAGAAGUUCACUCUGGCCAGAGCAAAAGGUGUGAGCAGAUGAGGGAAGGAGAUCAAGGCAGCAGACAGGUCAGCCGGGACCUGGUGCUAAAGGGCCUUAUGGUUCACGCCAAAGGCCUGGUCUUCGUUAUGAGGGCAGCGGAUGCCUUUGAAGGGAAUAAAGCAGAGUGCUGACAUGGUCACAUCAGAGCUUUCAGUACCUUACUGUGGCCAUAAUAAAGAGGCUGGCUUCGGGAUGUGGGGAGAGCAUGAGUAGAGGCAUUUAGGAGUUAAGAGCAGUUAGGAGAUUGUUAGGAGUUCAAGAGAGAUGUUGGUGCCUAGACCAGCUGUGACCAUGGCUAUGGGAUUGGAGUGAGGGCAUGAGAUUUAAGAACCAUUUUGGGGGUGGAAUUAGUAGGAUUGGGGGACAAGCAGGGUGAAAGAAGUUCUUGCUGAGAUUUCUGGCUUGAGCAUCAAGACAUUCAUUUGACAUGAGGGACAGGGACAGGUUUGGGGUGGGGAAGAGGAUGAAUUCAAGCUGAGUAGUUUUGGGAGAGGGUUAGGAGGCAGGGUAUGGGCCAUGGCUGGAGGAGAGGGCAUCUGCAUGGCAGGUGGUAGAGCCCUAGGAAUGAUUUGCUAAAUUGGUUUGGUCAUUAUUGACCUGACAAGGUUCACCCUGUGUUGUUGCAGCAAGGGCCAGGCUGGCUGGAGCUCUCUGAGAUGGCCGAGCAGCCAGACUACGACCUGGAGACCUUUGUGAAUAAAGCAGAGUGUGCCCUGGCCCAGCAAGCCAAGCAUUUCUCAGCCCUGCAAGAUGUCAUCAAGGCCUUGCGCCUGGC